GAACGCUAGCUACAGGCUUAACACAUGCAAGUCGAGGGGCAUCAGGAAGAAAGCUUGCUUUCUUUGCUGGCGACCGGCGCACGGGUGAGUAACACGUAUCCAACCUGCCCUUUACUCGGGGAUAGCCUUUCGAAAGAAAGAUUAAUACCCGAUGGCAUAAUGAUUCCGCAUGGUUUCAUUAUUAAAGGAUUCCGGUAAAGGAUGGGGAUGCGUUCCAUUAGGUUGUUGGUGGGGUAACGGCCCACCAAGCCUUCGAUGGAUAGGGGUUCUGAGAGGAAGGUCCCCCACAUUGGAACUGAGACACGGUCCAAACUCCUACGGGAGGCAGCAGUGAGGAAUAUUGGUCAAUGGGCGCUAGCCUGAACCAGCCAAGUAGCGUGAAGGAUGAAGGCUCUAUGGGUCGUAAACUUCUUUUAUAUAAGAAUAAAGUGCAGUAUGUAUACUGUUUUGUAUGUAUUAUAUGAAUAAGGAUCGGCUAACUCCGUGCCAGCAGCCGCGGUAAUACGGAGGAUCCGAGCGUUAUCCGGAUUUAUUGGGUUUAAAGGGAGCGUAGGUGGACUGGUAAGUCAGUUGUGAAAGUUUGCGGCUCAACCGUAAAAUUGCAGUUGAUACUGUCAGUCUUGAGUACAGUAGAGGUGGGCGGAAUUCGUGGUGUAGCGGUGAAAUGCUUAGAUAUCACGAAGAACUCCGAUUGCGAAGGCAGCUCACUGGACUGCAACUGACACUGAUGCUCGAAAGUGUGGGUAUCAAACAGGAUUAGAUACCCUGGUAGUCCACACAGUAAACGAUGAAUACUCGCUGUUUGCGAUAUACAGUAAGCGGCCAAGCGAAAGCAUUAAGUAUUCCACCUGGGGAGUACGCCGGCAACGGUGAAACUCAAAGGAAUUGACGGGGGCCCGCACAAGCGGAGGAACAUGUGGUUUAAUUCGAUGAUACGCGAGGAACCUUACCCGGGCUUAAAUUGCAGUGGAAUGAUGUGGAAACAUGUCAGUGAGCAAUCACCGCUGUGAAGGUGCUGCAUGGUUGUCGUCAGCUCGUGCCGUGAGGUGUCGGCUUAAGUGCCAUAACGAGCGCAACCCUUAUCUUUAGUUACUAACAGGUUAUGCUGAGGACUCUAGAGAGACUGCCGUCGUAAGAUGUGAGGAAGGUGGGGAUGACGUCAAAUCAGCACGGCCCUUACGUCCGGGGCUACACACGUGUUACAAUGGGGGGUACAGAAGGCAGCUAGCGGGUGACCGUAUGCUAAUCCCAAAAGCCUCUCUCAGUUCGGAUCGAAGUCUGCAACCCGACUUCGUGAAGCUGGAUUCGCUAGUAAUCGCGCAUCAGCCACGGCGCGGUGAAUACGUUCCCGGGCCUUGUACACACCGCCCGUCAAGCCAUGGGAGCCGGGGGUACCUGAAGUACGUAACCGCAAGGAUCGUCCUAGGGUAAAACUGGUGACUGGGGCU
rnacentral:rRNA from 1 species